rnacentral:rRNA from 1 species
ACAUACGACCAUAGCCGCCAGAUAACUCUGGAUCCCGUCCGAUCUCCGAUAGAUAACCUGGCGAGCGCUGGAUUAGUAGUUGGGUCGGUGACGACCAGCGAAUCCCCGGUGUUGUAUGUC